UACGAAGGGUGCAAGCGUUGUUCGGAUUUACUGGGCGUAAAGGGCGGGUAGGCGGCCACCGCAAGUCAGUUGUGAAAUCUCUGGGCUUAACCCAGAAAGGUCAACUGAUACUGCGGGGCUAGAGUGCAGAAGGGGCAACUGGAAUUCUCGGUGUAGCGGUGAAAUGCGUAGAUAUCGAGAGGAACACCUGCGGCGAAGGCGGGUUGCUGGGCUGACACUGACGCUGAACUGCGAAAGCUAGGGGAGCGAACGGG
rnacentral:rRNA from 1 species